UACGGAGGGUGCGAGCGUUGUCCGGAAUCAUUGGGCGUAAAGGGCGCGUAGGUGGCCCCUCAAGCGUGCGGUGAAAGUCAGGGGCUCAACCCCUGAUCGGCCGUGCGAACUGGGGAGCUUGAGCACUGUAGAGGCAGGCGGAAUUCCGGGUGUAGCGGUGGAAUGCGUAGAGAUCCGGAAGAACACCGGUGGCGAAGGCGGUUCUCUGGGCAUUACCUGACGCUGAGGAGCGAAAGUGUGGGGAGCGAACAGG
rnacentral:rRNA from 1 species